rnacentral:rRNA from 1 species
GACGAACGCUGGCGGCGCGCCUAACACAUGCAAGUCGAACGAGCGAGAGAGAGCUUGCUUUCUCAAGCGAGUGGCGAACGGGUGAGUAACGCGUGAGGAACCUGCCUCAAAGAGGGGGACAACAGUUGGAAACGACUGCUAAUACCGCAUAAGCCCACGACCCGGCAUCGGGUAGAGGGAAAAGGAGCAAUCCGCUUUGAGAUGGCCUCGCGUCCGAUUAGCUAGUUGGUGAGGUAACGGCCCACCGAGGCGACGAUCGGUAGCCGGACUGAGAGGUUGAACGGCCACAUUGGGACUGAGACACGGCCCAGACUCCUACGGGAGGCAGCAGUGGGGAAUAUUGCACAAUGGGGGAAACCCUGAUGCAGCGACGCCGCGUGGAGGAAGAAGGUCUUCGGAUUGUAAACUCCUGUUGUUGAGGAAGAUAAUGACGGUACUCAACAAGGAAGUGACGGCUAACUACGUG